GAUGAACGCUGGCGGCGUGCCUAACACAUGCAAGUCGAGCGAGAAACUUAAGAUUGAUCUUUCGAGUGAUUUCUUAAGCGGAAAGCGGCGGACGGGUGAGUAACGCGUAGGCAACCUGCCCUUUACAGGAGGAUAGCCUCGGGAAACCGGGAUUAAAACUCCAUGACACCGUAGUAACUCAUGGUACAUCGGUCAAAGAUUUAUCGGUAAAGGAUGGGCCUGCGUCUGAUUAGUUAGUUGGUGAGGUAACGGCUCACCAAGACAGCGAUCAGUAACCGACCUGAGAGGGUAAUCGGUCACAUUGGAACUGAGACACGGUCCAGACUCCUACGGGAGGCAGCAGUGGGGAAUAUUGCACAAUGGGCGCAAGCCUGAUGCAGCAACGCCGCGUGAACGAUGAAGGUUCUAUGAAUCGUAAAGUUCUGUUCUGAGGGAAGAAACAAAUGACGGUACCUCAGGAGCAAGCCCCGGCUAACUACGUGCCAGCCGCCGCCGUAAAAC
rnacentral:rRNA from 1 species